rnacentral:tRNA from 1 species
GUCAGGGUAACUUAGUUGGUAGAGCAGAGGAUUGAAAAUCCUUGUGUCACUAGUUCAAAUAUGGUUCCUGGCA